CGCGUGGGUAACCUGCCUCACACAGGGGGAUAACAGUUGGAAACGGCUGCUAAUACCGCAUAAGCGCACAGUACCGCAUGGUACAGUGUGAAAAACUCCGGUGGUGUGAGAUGGACCCGCGUCUGAUUAGCUAGUUGGCAGGGCAACGGCCUACCAAGGCGACGAUCAGUAGCCGACCUGAGAGGGUGACCGGCCACAUUGGGACUGAGACACGGCCCAA
rnacentral:rRNA from 1 species